rfam:Capsicum annuum cultivar Zunla-1 chromosome 1, whole genome shotgun sequence
UAUUGGUGAUGUGGACAAUCCUAAAGUAGAGCCUUGAAACUUUUCCAAGCAUGAUAAAGGUUUUCAUCAGGUUUUUGUUUAAAGCUCACUAUCUCACUGCGAAGUCU